GUGGACGCCAGUCUGCAUGGAGCCGACCUUGAAAUACCACCCUUUAAUGUUUGAUGUUCUAACGUGGACCCGUAAUCCGGGUUGCGGACAGUGUCUGGUGGGUAGUUUGACUGGGGCGGUCUCCUCCUAAAGAGUAACGGAGGAGCACGAAGGUUGGCUAAUCCUGGUCGGACAUCAGGAGGUUAGUGCAAUGGCAUAAGCCAGCUUGACUGCGAGCGUGACGGCGCGAGCAGGUGCGAAAGCAGGUCAUAGUGAUCCGGUGGUUCUGAAUGGAAGGGCCAUCGCUCAACGGAUAAAAGGUACUCCGGGGAUAACAGGCUGAUACCGCCCAAGAGUUCAUAUCGACGGCGGUGUUUGGCACCUCGAUGUCGGCUCAUCACAUCCUGGGGCUGAAGUAGGUCCCAAGGGUAUGGCUGUUCGCCAUUUAAAGUGGUACGCGAGCUGGGUUUAGAACGUCGUGAGACAGUUCGGUCCCUAUCUGCCGUGGGCGCUGGAGAACUGAGGGGGGCUGCUCCUAGUACGAGAGGACCGGAGUGGACGCAUCACUGGUGUUCGGGUUGUCAUGCCAAUGGCACUGCCCGGUAGCUAAAUGCGGAAGAGAUAAGUGCUGAAAGCAUCUAAGCACGAAACUUGCCCCGAGAUGA
rnacentral:rRNA from 1 species